UGAAGGUGAAGUCUGAUGUGGAUCUCACUGACUCCGCUGCCUCCAGUCUAAUCCUACAGAAGUUGGAGACCAUCCUGAGAGAUCAAGGGGUGGCUGAUUUCAAACUCAGCUGGCAAAGUGAUAAAAAUGGCAGUGUCUUUCAGCAUUAGUUGGAAACCACAGAGAAGACGGGAUGCUGACUGCAGAAGUACCUAUGUUGUUUUACUGUAGCGCUGAUGGAUGGAAACAGAUUAUUUAAAGAUUGUGUCUCACCUCACUGAAUUUAGGUGGAAACUAUAGGUUGGAAGUA